UUUUAAAAAAAAACUUUAUUUGAGAAAGGAAGAGACUUAUAUCAGAAGGCAAAAAAAGGGAACAUACAAACAGAAUAUAUUUACAACACAAAACAAGAGAUCACCUCUAAGGGUGUAAAUUAUAAUAAAUACAGUAGAUUUAAAAUGUAAGAGACAAUAAUCAAUUAGAAAUGUGGUUGUUUAAACCCAGUUUUCCUUUUCACUGGUUCCAGGUAGUUUCUCUAUUUUAAAUUUCAUCCAAAUUUGAAAGAUUCUGAAAUUAAAGUCCACUAAUGUAUUGGGGUUUCUCACCUGAAUGACAUUAUAAAAAUAUCUUGUCUUUUGUGAAUAUAUGUCUUUGAAGUGAUAUUGUACAAAAGUCUUCUCAUUUGCAAGUUUCUCCCCAAAUAAAAUGUAUUUUAAAAGAUGCACUAUCCCUUUUUGAUGAGGCUGAAGUUAGAUUUCAAAGAAAAUUAAAAUUAUACAGAAGGGGAAAAACAUUUAAUUUCACUCUUCUAUUACUUUUUGAAUGUGAAUGUGAUUCUUUUUAUCCAAGAUGAAGAAAGACUUCUUUUCAAAUAUGAAGCACACAUAAAAAUCACCUGUGUUUUUUCUCAAUUAAUAAAUCUCUUCUAUCUAAGGAGGCCUUUCAUAUUAACAGCAACUAUUUAGACAUUUGUUUGGAGACCUUCUAGGAAAAAGGAUAAUGUAUCUUUAGAAGUUGCAACAUUUUAUAAGAGAUUUAAUAGUAUUAGAGCAUAAUGUAAACAACACAUGCUAAUAACAUAUUUUAGAACAAUUUCUACAUUUGGCAAAACAGCUAUCUCUCUUGAAACAGGAUACUGCACCUUAAAAUACCUCAGCUUUAGAAAUAUAAAUAUUUUUAAUAGAAAAAAAACCCUGACAAGGAUUCCGGGUCAGUUUGGGAUUACCCAUAUUAAAGGGGAUCUUAAUACAAUGAAUCUUUAACUAGCUUAACAAAAGUAAACCUAUAAAACAAGGUAAACAUAUCAAAAGGGAAUAUGAAGGAAAUGUUUCACUGGAAAGCUUCCUUAACAAUUUCCCUACUCGCUUUGUUAUUUUCUUUGACAAUAAAUCAAUUCAUAGAGUGCCUUUAAAAACAGAGGGAGCGCUGCCCCGUCCCCCCCGCCCCGCAUUCCUCAGCACAUGAAUCACUUGGGCUUCCUGUUUCCAUAAGGCAUUUCCUGCCCCCCCCCCCCCCAAAAUCACUUUUCUGGAGGAGAACAGCGGGACCUGACAAAGUCGACUUAAAUAAACAGGGCCUUCCACUGCAUCCAGCCUUGCCCUGCCUGAGCGGACGGCAACGGAAAGGGAUGCCAGCGCGCUGGCUGCACACAUGCACUGUGCCUUUCAGCUCACCGACAAGCUGAAGUGUCCUUUUGCCAAGUUGGCAUUUUAUGCACAGCUGUUAUUUCAGUAUUUGUCCACGAGACCUAGCAGUAAAGGUUAUGCCAUAUUGUAUGAUUAGUCUUUAUUUAAAAUUACAAACAAGUGAUCGGGUAUCAGUUGAUAAUGAUAACAGUUCUGUGCUCUUCCUGCAAUAUCCUAGCAACUAAUUGCAACCUAAUGCUGCCUUUUGCUUUUCGCCAGUACUUGCAUCUGCUGCAUUUAAGGAUGUCUCUGUGGACUGCAUCAUCAAAUAAGACAGAAUGAAAAAUUAACUAAGCAGUGCAAAAAAAACAAUGCAAUUUUGAACAGUGCCUUGCCUUGCCUCUUUACAUCCACCCUGUAAAUUGCAUCCACCUCUUCUCUAAAUUAAACUUUAUACAUCAGCCUGGGACCACUGAUAUAGCAGUCAGUACCUGUCUACUGGGGAAAAAAUACCCUAAGGUUAUCAACAGUGUUCAAGACUACAGUAUGAUACAGUAUAUACAGACAGCU
rnacentral:lncRNA from 1 species